rnacentral:rRNA from 1 species
UGGGGAAUAUUGCACAAUGGGCGCAAGCCUGAUGCAGCCAUGCCGCGUGUAUGAAGAAGGCCUUCGGGUUGUAAAGUACUUUCAGCGGGGAGGAAGGUGUUGAGGCUAAUAACCUCAGCAAUUGACGUUACCCGCAGAAGAAGCACCGGCUAACUCCGUGCCAGCAGCCGCGGUAAUACGGAGGGUGCAAGCGUUAAUCGGAAUUACUGGGCGUAAAGCGCACGCAGGCGGUCUGUCAAGUCGGAUGUGAAAGCCCCGGGCUCAACCUGGGAACUGCAUGCGAAACUGGAAGGCUAGAGUCUUGUAGAGGGGGGUAGAAUUCCAGGUGUAGCGGUGAAAUGCGUAGAGAUCUGGAGGAA